rnacentral:rRNA from 1 species
UAAGGAAUAUUGGUCAAUGGGCGCAAGCCUGAACCAGCCAUGCCGCGUGCAGGAAGACGGCCCUAUGGGUUGUAAACUGCUUUUGUCAGGGAAUAAACCCCCGCUCGUGAGCGGGGCUGAAGGUACCUGAAGAAUAAGCAUCGGCUAACUCCGUGCCAGCAGCCGCGGUAAUACGGAGGAUGCAAGCGUUAUCCGGAUUCAUUGGGUUUAAAGGGUGCGCAGGCGGAUUGGUAAGUCAGGGGUGAAAUCCCACAGCUCAACUGUGGAACUGCCUGAUACUGUCAGUCUAGAGUAUAGUUGAAGUGGGCGGAAUGUGUCAUGUAGCGGUGAAAUGCUUAGAUAUGACACAGAACACCGAUCGCGAAGGCAGCUCGCUAAGCUAUAACUGACGCUCAUGCACGAAAGCGUGGGGAUCAAACAG